rnacentral:rRNA from 1 species
UACGUAGGUGGCAAGCGUUAUCCGGAUUUAUUGGGCGUAAAGAGAACGCAGGCGGUCUUUUAAGUCUGAUGUGAAAGCCUUCGGCUUAACCGGAGUAGUGCAUUGGAAACUGGGAGACUUGAGUGCAGAAGAGGAGAGUGGAACUCCAUGUGUAGCGGUGAAAUGCGUAGAUAUAUGGAAGAACACCAGUGGCGAAAGCGGCUCUCUGGUCUGUAACUGACGCUGAGGUUCGAAAGCGUGGGUAGCAAAUAGG